AUUGAACGCUGGCGGCAGGCCUAACACAUGCAAGUCGAACGAGUGGCGGACGGGUGAGUAAUGUCUGGGAAACUGCCUGAUGGAGGGGGAUAACUACUGGAAACGGUAGCCAAUACCGCAUACCAUCAGAUGUGCCCAGAUGGGAUUAGCUUGUUGGCGGGGUAACGGCUCACCAAGGCGAUGAUCCCCAGCUGGUCUGAGAGGAUGACCGGCCACACUGGAACUGAGACACGGCCCAGACUCCUACGGGAGGCAGCAGUGGGGAAUAUUGCACAAUGGGCGAAAGUCUGAUGCAGCCAUGCCGCGUGUAUGAAGAAGGCCUUCGGGUUGUAAAGUACUUUCAGCGGGGAGGCGUUACCCGCAGAAGAAGCCCCGGCUAAAUCAGUGCCAGCCGCCGCGGUAAUAC
rnacentral:rRNA from 1 species